rnacentral:lncRNA from 1 species
CAACACAGUUUAAUUAUUAGUGAACUAAAUGUUAACAAAUUAUCGAUAUAGAAAUAAUAUAGUAUCUUAAUUAUUAUCACAUUAUCUAUUAUAUAUCGCUACAACAAAAACGGUCUAUAGCGACACUUUUAAAUAUCGGUACAGGUAAAAAAAAAAUACUGCUAGCUAAAUUAUCGACACUUUUAAAAAGUGUUGCUAUAUGUGGGGUCGCUAGGUAUAUAGUGACAGUUAAAGAGUGUCGCUGUAACCUAAAAGAGUGAUGCUAAUUUACCAACACUUAUUUAAGUAUAUAGCAACCGCCGGAACUCUACCUCGUUGGCUGCGGUGGCGGAGGAGAACGAGAGAGAAGGGCUCUUCGUCUAGAAUUUCAGUGGAUUGAGUGAGGGGAGAAGAGGAGAUGGUAAUCGAUUUUUCUUUUUUUUUUUUUUCUUUUCUGUUUGUAAUCGGACCGAAUGGGCUGGGUAGGGUGGGUUGAGUAGAGUAACCUUUUAUGUUUAGUUGGAUUGGGCUUUAUAUUUAGGCAUUAGUAGAUUUUUUUUUUAAGUUUUGACAUAAAUGAGACACUUACACAAAAGUGUCUCAAACAUGUGUCCCUAUAAUCUAAUUCUGUUAUAGGGUUAGGAUACUUCGAUAUUACUUCUAUAUUAAUAAUUUGUGAGUAUUGAGCCAACUAAAUUAGAUUAUGACACUUUGAUUAUAAUAAUUUAGAAAGUUAAAAUCAGAAAUUAUAAUAAAUUAAAAUUGUCAAUAUUUAGCUAACUUAAUUGGGUUGUGAUACUUGAUUACAAUAAUUUUUGGCUUAAAUUUUUAAAAUUAUUGCAAUCAGAUCUCAUAAUCCAAUAUAAUUAGCUAAAUAUUGACAACUUAUUGAUAUAGAAGUGAUAU